rnacentral:rRNA from 1 species
GCUGGCGGCAGGCUUAACACAUGCAAGUCGAGCGGAAACGAUGGUAGCUUGCUACCAGGCGUCGAGCGGCGGACGGGUGAGUAAUACUUAGGAAUCUACCUAGUAGUGGGGGAUAGCACGGGGAAACUCGUAUUAAUACCGCAUACGACCUACGGGAGAAAGGGGGCAGUUUACUGCUCUCGCUAUUAGAUGAGCCUAAGUCGGAUUAGCUAGAUGGUGGGGUAAAGGCCUACCAUGGCGACGAUCUGUAGCUGGUCUGAGAGGAUGAUCAGCCACACCGGGACUGAGACACGGCCCGGACUCCUACGGGAGGCAGCAGUGGGGAAUAUUGGACAAUGGGGGAAACCCUGAUCCAGCCAUGCCGCGUGUGUGAAGAAGGCCUUUUGGUUGUAAAGCACUUUAAGCAGUGAAGAAGACUCUUCGGUUAAUACCCGGAGACGAUGACAUUAGCUGCAGAAUAAGCACCGGCUAACUCUGUGCCAGCAGCCGCGGUAAUAC